rnacentral:rRNA from 1 species
CAGCCGCCACGGUAAUAUAGAGGGUGCAAGCGUUAAUCGGAAUUACUGGGCGUAAAGCGCGCGUAGGUGGUUCGCCAAGUUGGAUGUGAAAUCCCCGGGCUCAACCUGGGAACUGCAUCCAAAACUGGCGAGCUAGAGUAUGGUAGAGGGUGGUGGAAUUUCCUGUGUAGCGGUGAAAUGCGUAGAUAUAGGAAGGAACAUCAGUGGCGAAGGCGACCACCUGGACUGAUACUGACACUGAGGUGCGAAAGCGUGGGGAGCAAACAGGAUUAGAUACCCCCGUAGUCCCUGUCUCUUAUAC